UGCUUUAUUUUUUUUUUUUUGUUUGUUUUAAUUACAUAUUCUCCAGUGUCUUGUCUUAUAUGGAAGAAAAGAGAAAUGCCCUAAGGGACCUAGAUUGCUAUUGUGAUCAGCCAAAUUUCUGGAUGAGUGCUUUGAAAAAUAGCUCUUCCAUUGCUAAAACAAUGUGUAUACUCCUCAGCAAUAUUGUGCAAUUCAUCAAUUCUGCAUAGGUUUAUAGGUUGAAAAGAAGUCUAGAGAGAAGGAGCAAACAGAAGAAGAGGACUCUAACUAGGCAAUAAAAGUUAUUAAGUCCCUUUAGUACUCACAAUUUGAAAUGUGCAGUGUGAGAUGUGUCAUUUAGUCACACAUGCACUGUCAGAGCACCCUCAGGGAGCAUUAGUCUGGCACUGAAAGUUACCUUAGCAAUUCUGCUCUGAGAGAGGAAGAAAAGACUGAGCCAGAUGGGGAACGUAAAACUUUUGCCAAAUCAUCUCCAACUUCAGCGGAUUUUUUUUGAUGGAAAAAGAAGAGGAAAACAAGGGAGAAGAGGAUGCUCACAGAGGUUCUUUGCAUAUUUCAGAAUCGAUUUUGUAGUGUUAAUUAAGCUUGUAUUUUCAUUCAUGGUUUAUAUGAACUAGGAGAAUACUAACUCCUACUUGGUUUCCCUUCCUUUUAGCUGAAGGAAAAGAAAGCAAUUUUCAUACCACAGUUCUUGAAUUUGAAAAAGAAAACCAGAGUGGUUUUUGUCAAAUUUAAUGAAGUGCUAAUCAACAAAUCAUUCAAGCUUUGUCCUAAAAUAGCAGAGCUCUCCUGGAGACUGGAAAUGCCUUCAAUUUUGAACAUGAGACCAGAGGACGACAAGUAUAUUGAUUUUUUUUCAUAAUUGUAGUAUACUUUCAGAUUACCCACAUCCAUCAGGUUGGAGCUUGACUACCUUUCUCUUAAGACAAAUUAAUAUGCCCAAAUUUUUCAAUAAGUUUGUGAAUAUGAAAUAACUGCUAUGAAAAAGAAAAAAGAAGAUUAAUUUUGUAUUAUAAGACUGUAGGUUAGCUUGAUCGUGUUGACAUACACUGUACUCAUAGAAUCAUAGAAUUUUUUGGGUAGCAUGGGACCUUUAAAGGUCAGCUAAUCCAAACCCCUGCAGUGAUCAGUACAAUGUAACAUGCUGACACUAGCAGCAUGCUUUGGAUCCUCCUAAUUUUUGAUGAUUGGCAAGGGGUGUAUACCUUUGUCAAUAGCCAAAAGAUUCAUUACUCAUUUUCCCUGGUUAAAUUCUCUAACAGUAAUAAUAUACAUUGAACAAACACAUUCAAAGAAUAUUCACAGUGCACACAGGUUUAAUCUAAAUUUCUCUAAAUAUUUCCUAGCAGAACUCUGUUUUGUGUUCUUGAUCACGAUAAAAAACAUGUUUCCUUUUGAAUUGUAAAACUCUGAAUACUCUUUAAGUAUUUUCAUAUGAGAUAAAACAGCAGGGUUUUCUUCUCACAGUCUCAUUCUCAGAAAUGGUUGAAAUACUCAGAUUGAAAUAUUAGGGGGGAGAAAAGGUACAAUUCAGGUAAUAAGCAGAAUAAGGAACUUUCAUUUAAAACUGCUAACAAUUAGAAAAGUUCUAAGUAAUUGGAAGUAACGGCUUUGCACAUGAAGCAGAGUUCUGUUCAAGUUUGUCAUGGACAGCUUUGCCUAUAAAUAGUGAUGCAUGAGACGUUUUUAUUUUUGUCAAGUAUCUCAUAUGAAUACUUGCUAAAUUGUUGGUAUAAUUCCCAUCAGCAAGUUGGUUAGAAACUGACUAGUGCUAUUUGUUUCCUUGGGUUAUGUGACUAAUUUUAUUAUUCAUUAUUUAUAAUAAAAACAAUUAUGCUCUAAGCCAGGGCUCUGUAGGUAUGGCCAAGUACUCACACACUUUGCUCAUAGCAAUUUGCAGACUAAUAUGAAACAGGUCCCCACAAGCCAUGGCAACAAUAGCAGACAGUGAUCAAACUGCACAUGUCAGUGAACACAACAGCACUAAGAAUAUGCUUUCAUGGUGUCCUGGCUCUGUUUCUCUGCCAGUAGUUGAUCUCCGUGACACAAGUUCAGGCUUAGACCGUAACUUGGGAGUACUAAAUCACUGAAGAUUGUUUUAGAGGCAAAUAAAUCCAAUGUGUGCAUGUUCAUGAAUAGAUACACGGGCAUACCAUGUCUCAGGUGCUUUCUGAGCUCCGCUUUGGCGUUGCAGUGCUGGCAGGAGGCACUGCAGCAGCCGCAGCUCCUCGGCUGCAAGCACAGGAGGGCGAGGCUGCAAAUGCUCUGCCAUCAGCAGUUCCCAGGGUUUGGAUGUAACUCAAUAACAGAGACUUGUUUAUAGCUCAGACUUAAAAGCAUUUACACAGGCUGUCUGAAGUUGCUGAGGAUUCACAAAUUUUCCUGCAAUAGCUGUUGUCACAGUGACUGCAAGUAAAAUAGUCAUAUGGGUAAUAGCAAGAUCCUCAUUCUUGAAAUUAUUUGUAUCUAUGUAUUCAGCUACCUUAAAAUAACGUAUGCAAUGAGUAAACCAUAAACUUUUAUAUGGAGAAAU